rnacentral:rRNA from 1 species
GGACUACUGGGGUAUCUAAUCCCGUUCGCUCCCCUAGCUUUCGUACCUCAGCGUCAGAAGAGACCCAGUAAGCCGCUUUCGCCACCGGUGUUCCUGAUGAUAUCAACGCAUUUCACCGCUCCACCAUCAGUUCCGCUUACCUCUGUCUCCCUCAAGCACCACAGUAUCGGGCGCAGUUCCUCGGUUGAGCCGAGGGCUUUCACACCCGACUGAUGGCGCCGCCUACGUACCCUUUAAGCCCAAUGAAUCCGAAUAACGUUUGGACGGUUCGUAUUACCGCGGCUGCUGGCAC